CUACGGGCUGCUCCAGUGAGGAAUAUUGCACAAUGGGGGGAACCCUGAUGCAGCAACGCCGCGUGGAGGAUGACGCAUUUCGGUGUGUAAACUCCUUUUAUAUGUCAAGAAAAUGACGGUAGCAUAUGAAUAAGCACCGGCUAACUCCGUGCCAGCGAGCCGCGGUAAUACGGAGGGUGCAAGCGUUACUCGGAAUCACUGGGCGUAAAGGACGCGUAGGCGGGUUGGAAAGUCAGGUGUGAAAUCCUACAGCUUAACUGUAGAACUGCACUUGAAACUUCUAGUCUAGAGUAUGGGAGGGGGAGAUGGAAUUAGUGGUGUAGGGGUAAAAUCCGUAGAUAUCACUAGGAAUACCUAAAGCGAAGGCGAUCUCCUGGAACAUUACUGACGCUAAGGCGUGAAAGCGUGGGGAGCAAACAGGAUUAGAUACCCCAGUAGUC
rnacentral:rRNA from 1 species